UCAAGUGAAUAAGUGCAUAUGGUGAAUGCCUUGGCGAUUACAGGCGAUGAAGGACGUGGUAGUCUGCGAAAUUUUUCGGGGAGCUGGCAAACAAGCUUUGAUCCGGAAGUGUCCGAAUGGGGAAACCCACCCGCAAGGGUAUCCAUCUCUGAAUACAUAGGAGAUGAGAAGCGAACCGAGUGAACUGAAACAUCUAAGUAACUCGAGGAAAAGAAAUCAACCGAGAUUCCGGCAGUAGUGGCGAGCGAAACCGGAACAGCCUGUUAUUUUUAGCACAUGCGUUAGUAGAACGGAAUGGAAAGUCCGGCCAUAGAGGGUGAUAGCCCCUUAUACGAAAACCCGUGUGUGGAACUAGGAUAACGACAAGUAGGGCGGGACACGUGAAAUCUUGUCUGAAUAUGGGGGGACCAUCCUCCAAGGCUAAAUACUCGUAAUCGACCGAUAGUGAACUAGUACCGUGAGGGAAAGGCGAAAAGAACCCCGGGAGGGGAGUGAAAUAGAUCCUGAAACCGUAUGCAUACAAACAGUGGGAGCGGACUUGUUCCGUGACUGCGUACCUUUUGUAUAAUGGGUCAGCGACUUACAUUCAGUAGCAAGCUUAACCGAUAGGGGAGGCGUAGCGAAAGCGAGUCCUAAUAGGGCGUUUAGUUGCUGGGUGUAGACCCGAAACCAAGUGAUCUAUCCAUGGCCAGGAUGAAGGUGCCGUAACAGGUACUGGAGGUCCGAACCCACAAAUGUUGAAAAAUUUGGGGAUGAGCUGUGGAUAGGGGUGAAAGGCUAAACAAACUUGGAGAUAGCUGGUUCUCUCCGAAAACUAUUUAGGUAGUACCUCGUAUCUUACUCUCGGGGGUAGAGCACUGUUAUGGCUAGGGGGUCCUUAAGGACUUACCAAACCAUUGCAAACUCCGAAUACCGAGAAGUACAAUUACGGGAGACAGACAGCGGGUGCUAACGUCCGUUGUCAAGAGGGAAACAACCCAGACCGCCAGCUAAGGUCCCAAAUGAUAUGCUAAGUGGUAAACGAAGUGAGAAGGCCCAGACAGCCAGGAGGUUGGCUUAGAAGCAGCCACCCUUUAAAGAAAGCGUAAUAGCUCACUGGUCGAGUCGUCUCGCGCGGAAGAUGUAACGGGGCUAAGCAUAUAACCGAAGCUGCGGAUGCAUAUUUAUAUGCAUGGUAGGAGAGCGUUCUGUAAGUCUGUGAAGGUGUUCUGUGAGGAAUGCUGGAGGUAUCAGAAGUGCGAAUGCUGACAUGAGUAGCGAUAAAGGGAGUGAAAGGCUCCCUCGCCGAAAGCCCAAGGUUUCCUGCGCAACGUUCAUCGGCGCAGGGUGAGUCGGCCCCUAAGGUGAGGCAGAAAUGCGUAGCCGAUGGGAAACAGGUUAAUAUUCCUGUACCUCAAUUUAAUGCGAUGUGGGGACGGAGAAGGUUAGGUCAGCCAGGUGUUGGAUAUCCUGGUUCAAGCAUGUAGAUAGAUUCCUUAGGUAAAUCCGGGGAGUUAAUAUCAAGAUGUGUUAACGAGUGAACUUUUGUUCAUGAAGUGAUUGAUACCACGCUUCCAAGAAAAGCCACUAAGCUUCAGUUAGAUUGAGACCGUACCGCAAACCGACACAGGUGGGCAGGAUGAGAAUUCUAAGGCGCUUGAGAGAACUCUGGAGAAGGAACUCGGCAAAUUUGUACCGUAACUUCGGGAUAAGGUACGCCCCAGUAGGUUGUAGCAUUUUACAUGCGAAGGCCGAUGGGGUUGCAGUGAAAUGGUGGCUGCGACUGUUUAUUAAAAACACAGCACUGUGCAAACACGAAAGUGGACGUAUACGGUGUGACUCCUGCCCGGUGCCGGAAGGUUAAUUGAUGGGGUGCAAGCUCUUGAUAGAAGCCCCGGUAAACGGCGGCCGUAACUAUAACGGUCCUAAGGUAGCGAAAUUCCUUGUCGGGUAAGUUCCGACCUGCACGAAUGGAGUAACGAUGG
rnacentral:rRNA from 1 species